UAAUUGAUUUUAAUUUUUAGAAAUAAGAAUGUUAAUAAUUUAUUUGCUUAAAUUGAUUAUUGAAAUUCUUUUUCAAAUGGUGAAACGUUCAAUUUCCUCAGUUAUCCUUCCUUUGUAUGUUCGAAGUUGGGCACACGAGGUAGAACGACCAAAUGGAGCUGAUCUACACUUUUGGUCCGUAAGAAAUGACCAAAGAGAUCCAUAUCUUCCAGUGUAGGAAUCCUAAAAUACAUCAAUCUUGUCUUUUCCUGUACGUGCAACCCUUCACCAGCACAAUUAGCUAUUAAACUGGAGUAAAGAAUCAUACCAGAUUUGCGUCCAUGUGACGCAUUACCGCCGUGGGCGUUCAGCUGGCUUGCAGGUCAUCCCCAUGUGGGCACUUAAGUUGCAGUUGGACUGGGUCGUUGCUAGCAGACAGAAAAAUUCAAUGGACUCGGUGAAUGUCAGAUUUAAUAAAGAAAAAUUUAAAAACUCGCUAAUGAACCGUGGUAUGUAUAAUAAUGCCUAUCGAUUACCCGUUGAAUUAUUGUCUGUGAUUUCAUUGAACAAUGUACACCUCAACUUAAAGCACAGUACAUUAGUCAAUGAGUUUGGUGUCAUCGACAUCCACUAAUA